rnacentral:lncRNA from 1 species
GCAUCUCUGGCUUAUGCUCGAUAGAUACCAGUAGCACCCCCCACCCAGUUGUGAUAACUAAAAUGUCUUCAGGCAAUUGGCAAAUACCCCCUGAGGACAGCAUCUCCCCACAGCUUAUUUUAAUUUAUACGUAAAGUCUGGCAUAUUAAUAUUUAUUGAAUGAAUACAUUAACAAGUGAAGGUGAUUAAAUUGUCUAUUCCCAUUGCCUGGUAUACAGGUGAUUACUCAGCAAAUAAUCAUUCUCCCUUCCAGGUGUAAUAUCUUGCAAGUAAAUUUGCUUACACAAGCUCUGAUUCCUUCAUGAAAUGAAUUGAAAGUACUCUGUGUAACUGAAGGCAAACUUUUAAUCAAUUGGAUUUCAAGGGUGCGGGCUGAGUCUAUGCCGUGCAAUGACUGGACAGUAAAUCACCUACCAGAAGCUGCUAAACUUCACGUGGUGCUCUCCACCAAAAUGGCUAGAGAGAUCCACCAUUGGCAGCACACUCCCUUCAACUUGCUGUUUCUAUACUGGAAAUUGUUUUAUUUGAUCCAACCAUAUCACCGCCUAGGUAGGGUAAUGUCUUGCCCAAACAGUGAAGUCUCUUAAGUCCAUCUUUGAAAUAAAAAUUGGCGACAUUCUUUUAC